GAACCGUCGGAUAUAGGAUGGGCGCGUGCUACAUCAACGGUUGGGAUAUAUUCAAACAAAUCAAAUGCAAAACCCAAAAACCACUCUCUUCUCUCUCCUUCGCGAUUUUCUCUCUCCUCCGUGCGUUUCUCUCUCAUUUUCACGAACGCCAUUAUUGAUCUCCUCAACCAUUUUCAUGCUUCCUCACCUCAAUCAACAACUCGAUUAUAUGGAAUUUGCUACAAUUUUUGCUGGAUUCGUUGCAAAAUUGGGUAGAAUUUGCUUCAAAUUCGUCUAGACCUUGCUACAAUUGAAGGUGUUAUAUUUUAGUUUGGUGAAUUGAUUCAAAUUUCUUCUACAACACGCAAAAUCUAAGUUGAGUAUGCAAAAUCGAGCUCAAAAUAGGUAUAAUCAGAAUAAUGCUCACAAUUUAUUAAGUUUGUAGUAAUUUUAGUUAAGAUUAGGUCUAUUUUCAUCAAAUCGAUGCAAAUUUAUUUGGUCUAAUCAGAAACUUGUGAGUGUUACGCUUAAUUUUGUUUAAUUUUCGGUAUUUUAGUGGUUGUUUUAAUCAUCAAUUUAAUGAAUCGUGGAGUUUAAAUUUGUGUGAUCUUCUCAUAUCUUGUGGAUGAUUUAUUGUGAUUUAAAAGAAAUUUUGUGAACUGAUUUUACUAAAGCCUUGAUUAAUACUUGAAGUUAUUGAUUUAUGUGUUUGUUUCUCAUGUAUUUUUUGAGGUUUAGCGCUCAAACUUCUGUGAAUUUUGGUGAGUUUGCAAACUACAUAUUGAUUGGAAACAAUCUUGAGACCCACUAAAAUUAUAAUAGGCUAAGAAUUUUGUUGUCAGUUAUUGUGAAGUUUUCAUGCUUGAAUAUGUGUAUGGUGUGUGGUGGCUGAUUUGGUUUGUAAGGUGGUAAGAGUGGUGCUAGAAAAGAUGAAUCUAAUGGGAAAUUUGUUCACUUUUAAAGUAAACUUUGUUUUAUUAAAAGUAAAUGGAUGUUGAUAUUUCUUGUAUAAUGGUUUAAGUUAUGUUGUUAUAGAUGCCUCUAUUGCAAUUUAUAAAAUAAACUGAUUUAUUAGCAUUUACUUGUUUUUCAUUGGAGGUGCUCUAAAUUCUAAUGGCGUAUCUAUUUCAAAAUUUUAAUCUUAUACCAAACAAAAUUGAAAAUCCUGAUUAUUUUGGCUGUGUGCUAUGUGUAGAAAUUUAGGCCAAGAUAGUAAAGUCAAGAGCAUAGAUCAUUGGGACUAUCUUCCAUAGGUUAGUUGUCACUAAAAUUAACUGAAAAAACACAGAAGUAAACCAAAAUACCUUAAAAGUAAAUCAUAAUAGUUCUAACGUAAAUAAAUAAAAAAUAAAAAAAAGUAGUACAUCAAGUGAUAGUUUUUUUUUUUAUUGAAUCCUUCAACCAUAAGCUGUGCUAGCUAAAACCUAUUAGCUCAAAAGGUAGAGCACUAUGCGGAUGCAUAGAGAUGUAGGUUCAAUUCUUACAUAGGUUAUCUCUUAAAAUAAAUAUAAAACUCUAAGGGGGUGUUUGGUAUAAGGUUUUUAGAGUAGUGGAAACGAAAUCAUGUUAGUGUUUCCAUUACAAUGUGUUUGGUUAAUGACUAAAGUAACACAAAUCGUUAGUAGGUGGUAACCCAUUCCACCAAAUUGUUUCCAGUGUAAUAAGUGAGGAAACAGAUUCUUUUUCCUUCCUCUAACACAAAAAAUAAAGAAAACUCUUCUCUCUUCUCUUCUUUCGUUCGAAAAUUUUCUGAAAAAUUCCUAAAUUUGAUCGAUGAUUCUAUAAAGAAAGUUGCGAUUCUUCAGAUUUUGUUACAAAAUUUUCAAUUAUCUACUUCAAAUCUUCAAAAAUCAUCACAGGUUUGCUAUCUUAAUUUCUCUCGUUCAAUUUCUAGGGUUAAUGCGAUAUGAAUAUUGUCGUUCCUGGUUUGAAUUCUACACUUGCUUGUUUGAUUAAAAUUUUAUUCUAUUUUUAUUGAUUUUCUACUGAAUUUGAUGGUAUAUAUUGCUAUUAUUGCUGUAAUUGCUAGUUAUUUGGGGUUUUCCCCCUAAAUUUUCCCCAAUAUCAGGAAGUUUCUAAUUUUAAUUAGAAUUUUGAUUUGGGAUGGUUUUGCUGGUUAAUUUUCUUGUUACUAGCAUACUAUUUGAUUCGACUUAUUUGCUUGCGUUGCUAUUAUUGACUUAUUUGUUGCAAUUUACUCCUUAAAAUUACAAGCUGAUUUUUCCAGAAUGAUUUCUUAUUUAUCCCAAAGUAGAAUGUAGUGUUGCAUGGACAACCUUAUCUUCUGCUACUAACUAAAUGCAUCUGUUUAAGUGCAAAUUAUUAAUCAUUAACUAAAUUGAUUUUUAUUUAUGGGUAAUAUAUGAUACGUUUUUGAUGAAUAUCAGAUUAGUUGCUAAAUUUAUGGUUUUUGAUGGCUAAUAUAUGUUAUUUGUGAUACUAGUGUAUAUUGAUACUGUUGUAUAUUUUUCGGACUGGUUUUUCAAGGUUUCUACAAUACCUCGACUUAUGCGUUCCAUAAGGAAGAAAAAGCUAAAACAAAUACAACUAAUUAUUUCAAUGGUUAUUAUUAUUAUUUUGAUGAUGUAUUGGAUGUGGCAUAUGAUGUGUGUUGUUACAAUAAAGGGUGUUCAAUUGAAAGAAAGAAAAAGAAACAAAAAGUUGCUACGAAUGUUAGUUUUGAGAGGGCUUUAUAAAGAGAGUGAUGUGAAAUGCAAGAGUGAGCUUCGCGUUAAUAGAAGAACUUUUCAAUAUUAUUUGUGAGAUGCUUAGAGACAUUGGGGGUUUGAGUGGAACAAAAAACAUGUCGCUUCAAGAGAUUGUAGCCAUGUUUUUAUACACGUUGGCUCACCAUAAGAAGAAUAGGUCUAUUGGAUAAUAUUUCUUUAGAAGUGGAGAAACCGUGAGCCGACAAUUUCACCUUUGUCUAAGGGUUUUUCUCAAAUUAUACGAAGUAUUACUUUACAAUCCCACACCAGUAUUGGAUGAUUGUGAAGAUGAAAGGUGGAAAUUUUUCAAGAAUUUUUUAGGGGCAUUUAGAUGGGACUUACAUUAAUGUAAAUGUGCCUUCACAAGAACGACCAAAGUAUAGAACAAGAAAAGGAACAAUUGUUAUGAAUGUAUUGGGUGUUUGUGCACCCAAUUUGCAAUUUAUUUAUGUUCUUCCUGAUUAGGAAGGUUCGGCCCAUGAUAUGCGUGUACUUCGCAAUGCUCUCUCUAGACCAAACGGUUUUAGGGUACCUCGAGGUAAGUGAAGCUCAUUCUUUUGUGAGUGUAUAAGUUUUGUUAGUUCGGAUCAUUGGAAUUUAUUACAAGUGUUGCUACUUCGGAUCAUUGGACCAAUUUUAGAAACAAAUUAGCCCAAGAUAUGUUAAAUGAUUGGAGGGCGAGAGGUAGACAUGGUCAAUAGCAAAAAAUGUAUGAUUUUUUUCCCCUUCGAUUACAUUAUAUAUAUAGGUGUAUUUUCUGUUUUUGUUCAUUUUGAAGCCACUGCUAAUGAGUGGCAUUUAUGCCACCAUUUCACCCUCUUUCAUUAGAGAAUUCCCCCGAUUUGUCACUUGUUUAUGCCUCUUCUCACCACUUUUACUUCUUUUUAGUUACUUUAGUUUCCUCUCGUGUUUUCCUUUCCCUUUUAUCUUUUCUUCUACAUUUUACCUUUCAUUUGUGUGUUUUGAUAGCUCCUAGCACUCGUGGGAAAAUUUUGGAUCGUUUGAUGGAGUGGAGAUGCUAAGGAAGCUUGCCAAGGGAAGAGGAGAUGCUACAAAGGAGAGGGUGCGCUGUUACAGCUAGCCGCGGGCGCAGACAGGGGGUUACUGAGCUAUGAAGCAGAUUCUGGAGAUGGCUAGCCGCGGGCGCGGCACUCUGGGUCUGGCGAACCUCUUACCCAGCUUAGAGAGGGCGCGACAGCCUGUUCGGAGAGCCUUCUCCCUUGCCCAUUUUCCUCAUUAUAAUAGAAGACUAUAAAUAGUCUUGGGCUUGAGUUUUCAAUCAUCAACUAUUUCAUUGCCAUCAAAACACUUUGUAGAGAGAAAACACUUAGUCUUCAAGAUUUAAUCUUUGUAAUCAAAUAUUCAAGCUUUCUUCUAGAUUGUUGCAACAACUUUGAUGAUUGGGUAAUCUUUCAACUUUUAUAAUAGUAUUCUUUCCUCUUUA